rnacentral:rRNA from 1 species
UGAGGAAUAUUGGUCAAUGGGCGAGAGCCUGAACCAGCCAAGUAGCGUGCAGGAUGACGGCCCUAUGGGUUGUAAACUGCUUUUAUAUGGGAAUAAAGUGAGGGACGUGUCCCUUAUUGCAUGUACCAUACGAAUAAGGACCGGCUAAUUCCGUGCCAGCAGCCGCGGUAAUACGGAAGGUCCAGGCGUUAUCCGGAUUUAUUGGGUUUAAAGGGAGCGUAGGCUGUUUGUUAAGCGUGUUGUGAAAUGUAAGAGCUCAACUUUUAGAUUGCAGCGCGAACUGGCAGACUUGAGUGCGCACAACGUAGGCGGAAUUCAUGGUGUAGCGGUGAAAUGCUUAGAUAUCGGGAAGAACACCAAUGGCGAAGGCAGCUUACGGGAGCGCAACUGACGCUAAAGCUCGAAGGUGCGGGUAUCGAACAGG